UAGAAAACAAUACCUCUUUUAAAAAUCCAGCCAAUUCUUAAGCAAAGGCAGCAGGGAGGGUGGGAGCAGAGGAAGGGAGGGAGUCUUAGAUAAAUACAAGUUAAUGGGUCAUAAUGAGGUCUAAUGACAGACAUCGCUUUCCUUUGGGACACAAAGGGCAAUGGAAACAAACAAAUGAUAAGGCAAAUAAAAACAAUAGUCCACCGGUUCUGUGGUGGGUACAGGCUGGUCUGCAUGCAGUGAAGCACUAUGUAAAUGAUUGUAGAGCACUGCACUGCUAUUCAACGUGUUCUUGCCUGAGAGAAAACAUGGAAAAACUUUUACACUGAUGAAUUUUAGGGAAAAAAAAUGGAUUAAAAAAUAGGUUAGAUUAAACAUUUUUAUUUGCAAAAGAAGUGUUUUUUCUUCAUGUUUUGGAAUUAAGACUUGUUGGUCUGACUCUUUACAAGCAGGAAAAAAAGGACAAUAGAAAUGACUAACACAUCCCUAUGAGAAGAGAUGAGAAGGACAAUUACAGAAGAAGCACAACCUGGAGGGACAACUGCUUUCUAAGAUCUUUAUUGUGUAAAAAUCAUCAAUAUUCAAGGAGUUCAUAAAAAUCAUACAUCAACAGGAGAGACAGGAACUUUGGAAAGAUCAUUAAUGAUGGCAACAACUGCUGACCUUUCAGCUGAUUCUAACCCAAGCCAAACCGUGAAAUAUGAUCCAAAGUCGGAAACGGUGAUGUUACCAAAUGGGUUGGUUUCUGUGGCAGGUGUCACGGUGGUGACAGGGGGAGCAGAGCUGUCCUGUGGCUCCUGUAUGUUGGCCUUUGGUGUUUGGGGCACUCUGGUUGGUUUGAGUGUUGUGUCAGUAGGUUUGUGGGAUCAUCUGGAGUACAAGAUGAGUGGUCUGUCACACCUUCUGGCUCUUGGAUUGGUACUGCUGCUUUCCAGUUUGAGUCUUGUAGCCAUGAUCUUCCUCCUCCGUUUCUUAAUGAAAAAGAGAAGAAUGAUGUCCAGAAGACAGAGGGCAGAAGUGAAUCUAGUGCUGGUUAAUGAGUAUGCAGAAGUUUUAAAAAGGGUCACAGUGUAAAAGAAUAUGUCAGACUCCCUGCUGCUCCAUCUUUGUUUUUCUUCAUCACUCUUUGCUUAAUCAUGAAAGAAUGUCACAGGAAAUUCAUUGGAUUCAGUGCUACAGGAAACACUUUGCUAUUUCCUUUGUGACUUCAGAAAACACAAGAGACAUAUUUGCUUCUGCAUUCAUGUCUUUAUUAGACUUAUAUUGUAAAUCUAACUUUAAUUGAAUAUCAUUCCAGAGGUUUUUAGCUUUUAAGUUGAUACAAUGACUCUUAAUAAUUGCAUAUCUCUUCUUAAAUAUGUGUAUGUAUCAUUGUGUAAUUUCGUCUAUAAUCCAAGUGCAGCUGAAGUAUAUUUUUGUCAUUAUGUAUUUUGAGUUAAUAAUAUUUUCUUCAUACGCAGAAAAACACAUGAACACAUGACAACAGGUCCAAUAACAUCACAGCUGCACAGCAAAUAAUGAUGCAUUAUAUAAAAUUGUUAAAGUUUGUGUGCUUAAGAAAACCCACUGCAUUUCUAACAUAAGCAUUAAUUUCUUUGUUGCUGAAUGUGCUAUCUGCCUUUACAAAACAAAAGUGUUUGGAAAUAUACUGGAGAAUGUAAUGUUAUUUCAAAAAUACUUCUAUAGCAAUGAAAACAAAAACUGCAUUAAAUUUUUGCAUGUUAUAGCUUUAGUGAAACACUCAAUUCAUUUCUCAAGAAUGAUUUUUUUUUUUUCCAAGAGUUAAUGGUGGGUUUACAUAAAGCUGAACAUUAUCCAACUUUAUUGUUUGCAUAGUUACACAUCUGAUAUAUGAAAAUAUAUGUGAUAAAAGUAUGUAAUAAAUAUGGGAUCAAAUAAAUCAAAUGUGAUAAUAUAUGUGAUAAAAGUUUUGGAUUUUUGGAAAAUUGGAUGUCUUUUUAAAGUCAUGGCAAAUUGGUGGAUGAAAAUUGAUAUCUGACAUUUCUAACUUAUUUUAUUGAGUACUCCAUGUACUAUAUAUAAAUACAAAUACAUGGAUAUAUAUCACAAUAUGUUUGUAUUUAUAUUUUCACAUAUUUUUCAAUAUAUGUGAAGCGGCGAUUCCUUAUGUAAUAUUCAAUAUACUGGAAUAUAGUAACAUAAUAUAUUAUUCAUAUUCACUAUAUUUCCAACAUACAACAAAUUAUUUAUACCGAUUGUUAAUAUAUAAGAAUAUAUAUAUUUUCUUUGUGUAAGGGUGGUAAUUUAUCACUGUCUUUUUGAUGGGUAGCACCCAAGGUGGAUUUUCUAAUGAUGAUUCAAAGAGGUUAAACAGUCUUUUUUCAAGCCUAUUGACAUUUUGUUCAGCAAUGCUAUUCUUAAUAAUCUUACUUUAUGCCAUAUAUGAUACAAUGUUCUAUUUUUAAACAAUUCUUAUAACCCUGGAAUGGUUAAACAGACUUCAAAGAAACACUUUAUUGCUCUAAACUAUCAUUAGGAAUGCAAAUGUACAGUAAUUGACAAACGUGCUGCCUGUUAAAAGAUCUCAUUUGAAAUAAAAUUAAUGAAAGAAAUGUUCUCUGUAAAAAUGUAUGUCUCCAUCUGCUGGUCACUUGUGAUUUACUUGAGGAAAUUGUAUACUGCCUGUCAUGAAAAUUAAUUACCCUUACCAAAAAGUAGUAUAUGUUAAGUUAGUAAAGUAAAGUUCAAGUAUAUUUUUAAGUAUACUUUAUGUAGUAAGUAUGCAAAUAUAAGUGUACUAUUUCAAUACUUAUAAGGCCAAUUCAAUAAUUGGCCCACUUUCUAGUAGCCUAUAUAAAAGUAUACUUUUAAGUAUACUUUAAGUAUAACAGUAGUACAUUUUGAGUACACAACUAGUUUACAUUUAUGUUUUUAGUUUGUAUUGCAACUAUACUAAAAGUGAACAUAGGUAUACUGAUAGUUUACUAAUUAAAUACUUAGCAUUAAAUACUAGCAUACACUUUGAAGUAUAGUCUCAGUAAA
ensembl:lncRNA